AUAACAAUACAGGACUCUUUUGAGGCCCUGUAAUUGGAAUGAGUACACUUUAGAUCCUUUAAUGAGGAUCUAUUGGAGGGCAAGUCUGGUGCAGAGCGACUGACCAUUGUGUGCUGCAGCUGAAACACCACUAUCUCCUG